rnacentral:rRNA from 1 species
AUUGAACGCUGGCGGCAUGCCUUACACAUGCAAGUCGAACGGUAACAGGUCUUCGGAUGCUGACGAGUGGCGAACGGGUGAGUAAUACAUCGGAACGUGCCCGAUCGUGGGGGAUAACGAAGCGAAAGCUUUGCUAAUACCGCAUAAGAUCUAUGGAUGAAAGCAGGGGACCGCAAGGCCUUGCGCGAACGGAGCGGCCGAUGGCAGAUUAGGUAGUUGGUGGGAUAAAAGCUUACCAAGCCGACGAUCUGUAGCUGGUCUGAGAGGACGACCAGCCACACUGGGACUGAGACACGGCCCAGACUCCUACGGGAGGCAGCAGUGGGGAAUUUUGGACAAUGGGCGCAAGCCUGAUCCAGCCAUGCCGCGUGCAGGAUGAAGGCCUUCGGGUUGUAAACUGCUUUUGUACGGAACGAAAAGACUCUGGUUAAUACCUGGGGUCCAUGACGGUACCGUAAGAAUAAGCACCGGCUAACUACGUGCCAGCCGCCGCAGUAAAAC